UACGUAGGGUGCGAGCGUUAAUCGGAAUUACUGGGCGUAAAGCGUGCGUAGACGGCUAUCUAAGUCGGGUGUGAAAGCCCCGGGCUCAACCUGGGAAUUGCAUUCGAGACUGAAUAGCUAGGGUACGGUAGAGGGAAGUGGAAUUUCCGGUGUAGCGGUGAAAUGCGUAGAUAUCCGAAGGAACAUCAGUGGCGAAGGCGGCUUCCUGGCCUGUUCUUGACGCUGAGGCGCGAAAGCUAGGGUAGCAAACGGG
rnacentral:rRNA from 1 species